UGAAAUAGUUGGCUUUUUAGCACUGGGC
rnacentral:piRNA from 1 species